UGAUAAUUUUGAAUGGGCCCAGGGUUACAAUUCUAGAUUUGGCAUUUUUUAUGUGGACUACGAGAAUGGACGUUUGACAAGAUUCCCAAAAACCUCAGCUGUAUGGUGGAUGAAUUUCCUUGAAAAUCCUAAGAAUCCAUGGAAUAGACUUCCAUUGAAGCUACAGGAUGUUGAAACUGAAGAAGAACGACAUGGUCCUGCAAAAAAGCCAAGAAGCGGCGUUGCUUAAAGUCAACAAUUACUAUUUUACUGCUUCCUUACUGAAUUAUAUUGUUGAAUAAUGCUAGCAUGGAUGCAUGCUUGAUGUUCCUUUAGUUUCUGCCUUAAUUCUCUCCUGAGAAGAGCAAUAAAUAAAUGCUGUAACUUAAUAGUCAUUAUGCUCAAAUAAUUGGAACCCUCUGAGGCUCCAAGUGUAACUCUCUUGUUUUCAGUUUGUGCAAUAAAAGAUUUGAGACCGG
rnacentral:lncRNA from 1 species